rnacentral:pre_miRNA from 1 species
GAUGUACUCCCUCCGUCUCAAAAUUCUUGUUUUAGGUUUGUCUAAAUAUGAAUGUAUCUAGUCACAUUUUGGUAUUUAGAUACAUCCAUUUCUAAACAAAACUAAGACAAUAAUUUUGGGAUGGAGGGAGUACCUA